rnacentral:rRNA from 1 species
CCUACGUGGGGCAGCAGUGGGGAAUAUUGCACAAUGGGGGAAACCCUGAUGCAGCGACGCCGCGUGAGUGAAGAAGUAAUUCGUUAUGUAAAGCUCUAUCAGCAGGGAAGAAAAUGACGGUGCUUGAGGAAGAAGACCCGGCUAAAUACGAGCCAGCAGCCGCGGUAAUACGUAGGAGGAAAGCGUCAUCCGGAUUUACUGGGUGGAAAGGGAGCGUAGGCGGCAGUGCAAGACUGGAGUGAAAGGCGCGGGCUCAACCCCCGGCGUGCUUUGGAAACUGUACGGCUGGAGUGCAGGAGAGGUAAGUGGAAUUCCUAGUGUAGCGGUGAAAUGCGUAGAUAUUAGGAGGAACACCAGUGGCGAAGGCGGUCUGCUGGACAGCAACUGACGCUGAGGCGCGAAAGCGUGGGGAGCAAACAGGAUUAGAUACCCCAGUAGUC